rnacentral:tRNA from 1 species
CACUAGGAGGCCAAAAAGGGUUUAAGCGUUAGCCUUUUAAGCUAAAGAUUGGUGACUCCCGACCACCCCUAGUGA